rnacentral:lncRNA from 1 species
AUUAUCCCGAGCUACCCUGCGCUUCGAGUCGUGCGUCGUCUCCCGCACACUCCACUCCAGUGACGAAGUAGUGCUUUUCAAGUAAAAGCGAACUUUGCGUGCAGGAAAACUCAGAAUCAUUGGUGUUCCACGAAGAACCACCCAAGUACCUGAUUGACGUUUACAUCUGUGUUUCUCCCCUACUGAAACUUUCUGGCUCAGACGAUUUCAUCACCUAGGCAUCAAAAUGUAUUUUCUACAUUCGCAAACUUCGCAGUUGGAUAUCUUUUCUGCCAACGCGUUGCCAUUUCUUAUGAGGAUCAAAUCGAUAAAACAUAGUAUAUGCUAAGAAAAUGUUUCGUAUAUAAUUAAUAGACCGAUCGAUAUAGAAUCAAGACAAUAUUAACACAAGCAAAAAAAGCCAGCAGUUUCUACAAAGCGUUAAAACCGACUGUAACGUGCAGUAGUCAGAGACAGAAUCACUGCCUCUGACCGAGGUUUGUGGAUGUUCGGUAAGUAAUCUGUAGCAUCUUGGUAAGUUACCGUUGGUGCAAUUCAAAAACCUGUAAGUACCACCCUCAUCAAUAAUCCCGUUCGUAUGCCACGAUUUAAUUAGAUUAUUGGGCUUAUUAGUGAUAAUCUUAAUAACAUCAAUUUGCAAAAAGAUACUUAAAAUCUUAAUGCUAUGUACGACAUAUUUAUAAGAAUUGUGUAAUUACUUCUGACUAGUUAUUUUUAACCAUAUCUUUAAUUUAUGUUAUUGUAUUAAUGUUGUUAAACUUGACAUUCUCACUUUCAACGAUCCUCUUUCCAAUGACAAAAGUUGUGGAGUACAGACAUACUUUCCAACACGUAUCCCAAAACAACACUUAAUGUACUUUUGCGAAUUUGUAAUAGAUUAAUAUUCGAUGUGAUCAACGUAAUUUAUACAAGCAAGUAUUGAUAUUAAUUAAAAUCUCUUAUUUUGUAAUGACAGUUUUGUGAAUUAUUCCGUGAUUUAUACGUUUUUUGUAAAUUGUAGAUACACUUAAUAAGGGCCAGAAAUCGGCCGAAAUAUUGUGUAACUUUUCAACAUUUGAAAUAAAAUUGCCAGAAUUGUCAUUAAAUUGCCAUUCAAAAAAAAAAGACUUUGUUGCCCUAAAAGAUUAUGUAUUAUAUAUUGAAUUAGGCUCUAAUAAUCGGAAAUGUAGCUGAUGCUCUUCCUCUUCUCUUUCCACCGCUCCCAUUCUCUUUAUUCCUCUUUCCUGUUUCCAUUCCGUUUAAGUAAGAUAAGUAAUUGGACACUCGAAAGUAGUUGGAUGAAAUGUUUUUACGUUCGUUUCACUGUCAUCAAUCUUACGUACAUAAAUAAUUUGAUAUUAUAAAGUUCAUGAUUUUCUAAUAUAAUAUCCACAAUUUUCAGGCGAAUUGUGUACUGCGAAAUGUGUAGUACUGCACAAAAUGUAGUAGUACCUACAAAUAUUAAUUUCUAUGUUUAAAGAUAAUGACCACAUUAAACAUAUCCGCUUAGGCUUAAUUUAGUGUUUCGUAUUAAGGAAUUGUUUUUGAUACUUUACAAUACAAUCCAGAGGGAGCCGAAAUCGUGGCUUAUCGAUUCUCCUUUUUAAAUUAUAUCUUCAAUAUUUAAAGAUUACAAUAAAUUUAUGUUAUUCUUUGAACAGUCUAAAACUACACCUAA